rnacentral:lncRNA from 1 species
UAGAAAGUAAUGCACCGACCCCCACCUAGGGGGCGGUUCCAUCCAAUAAUCGACCUCCCACAGUUAGUUAGGAAGGAGGGAAAGGGGCUCGAGAGGCCUUUCUCUACAUAAUGAAUGAGUGGUACACGGAGUUAGUCCGAGCGAACCCGAAUGCUCAACCCCCUCCACCCCUACCUAUCCCUCAACCUGUCCUUGUAGUACCC